UUCCAGACUCCUACGGGAGGCAGCAGUGGGGAAUAUUGCACAAUGGGGGGAACCCUGAUGCAGCGACGCCGCGUGGGUGAAGAAGUCAUUCGUGACGUAAAGCCCUAUCAGCAGGGAAGAAAAUGACGGUACCUGACUAAGAAGCCCCGGCUAACUACGUGCCAGCAGCCGCGGUAAUACGUAGGGGGCAAGCGUUAUCCGGAUUUACUGGGUGUAAAGGGAGCGUAGACGGCAUAGCAAGUCUGAAGUGAAAGCCCAAGGCUCAACCAUGGGACUGCUUUGGAAACUGUUAAGCUAGAGUGCUGGAGAGGUAAGCGGAAUUCCUAGUGUAGCGGUGAAAUGCGUAGAUAUUAGGAAGAACACCAGUGGCGAAGGCGGCUUACUGGACAGUAACUGACGUUGAGGCUCGAAAGCGUGGGGAGCAAACAGGAUUAGAUACCCGGGUA
rnacentral:rRNA from 1 species